rnacentral:rRNA from 1 species
CCUACGGGAGGCAGCAGUGGGGAAUAUUGCACAAUGGGGGAAACCCUGAUGCAGCGACGCCGCGUGAGUGAAGAAGUAAUUCGUUAUGUAAAGCCCUAUCAGCCGGGAAGAAAAUGACGGUACCUGAGUAAGAAGCCCCGGCUAACUACGUGCCAGCAGCCGCGGGCAUACGUCGGGGGCCAGCGUUCCCCGGAUUUACGGGGGGGAAAGGGCGCGUAGGCGGGAGUGCAUGUCUGGAGUGCAAGGCGGGGGCUCAACCCCCGGACUGCUCUGGAAACUGUACGGCUGGAGUGCCGGGGCGGUAGGGGGAAUUCCGAGGGUAGCGGUGGAAUGCGUAGGUAUUAGGAGGGACACCAGGGGCGAAGGCGGCUUACUGGACUGUAACUGACGUUGAGGCUCGAAAGCGUGGGGAGGAGACAGGGUUAGAUACCCGGGUAGUG